AUUGAACGCUGGCGGCAUGCUUUACACAUGCAAGUCGAACGGUAACAGGUCUUCGGAUGCUGACGAGUGGCGAACGGGUGAGUAAUACAUCGGAACGUGCCUAGUAGUGGGGGAUAACUACUCGAAAGAGUAGCUAAUACCGCAUGAGAUCUACGGAUGAAAGCAGGGGACCUUCGGGCCUUAUGCUACUAGAGCGGCUGAUGGCAGAUUAGGUAGUUGGUGGGGUAAAGGCUUACCAAGCCUGCGAUCUGUAGCUGGUCUGAGAGGACGACCAGCCACACUGGGACUGAGACACGGCCCAGACUCCUACGGGAGGCAGCAGUGGGGAAUUUUGGACAAUGGGCGAAAGCCUGAUCCAGCAAUGCCGCGUGCAGGAUGAAGGCCCUCGGGUUGUAAACUGCUUUUGUACGGAACGAAAAGCCUGGGGCUAAUAUCCCCGGGUCAUGACGGUACCGUAAGAAUAAGCACCGGCUAACUACGUG
rnacentral:rRNA from 1 species